rnacentral:lncRNA from 1 species
GGCUGUCCACCUUGGGUGCCAGUGGCAAGCCCCAGGUAGCUUCACCCGUGCUUCCAACUGGCUGCAAAGCGGGGUUCCCACACCCCCUCCUCCGGUUUCAUGAAUUGGCCAGCGGCUCCCAGAACACUGAACAUUUCCCAGUUUAUUUCAAAGGACAUAAGGGGAAAGAAGUGCAGGGCACCGGGUCCCCAGGAACACGUCACCCUCCAGGAACCUCCAGGCACCUCCAGGCAGGCAGCUCUCCAGAAGCCGACUACGGUAUAGUUCAUCAGAAGGAGCUAAAAGAUACUGUUUAAAGAAAUAGAAAAUUCAGGGCUGGGGCUGUAGCUCAGUGGCAGAGCGCGUGUGAGGCACUGGGUUCAAUCCUCAGCAUCACAUAAAAAUAAAAGAAAGAAAGGCAUCCUGUCCAUGUACAACUACAAAAAGAAAAUUCAGAAUGUUCUCUCUAUAGCAUGUAAAUAGGUAUGCUAUGGACUGAAUUGGGUUCUCUCCAAAAUUCAUCUGUUGAAUUCCUACCCACCCACCCAGGGGAUGGUUUUUGAAGAUGGGACCCCUGCAGGUAUUUAGGUCGUGAUGGUGGGCCCUCAUCGUGGGAUUGGCACCCUAAUAAGGAGAGGUACCAGGGAGCUUGCUUUCUCCAUGUGAGGACAGAGCAAGAGGACAGUAAUCUCAAAAGAGGGCCCUCACCAGGAACCGAUCAUAAUGGCAUCCUUAUCUUGAACUCCCAGCCUCUGGAAUUAUGAGAAAGUACAUUUUUGUUGUUUCAGCCAUCCCAUCUGUGGCAUUUUGUUAGAGCAGCCUGAGCAGAUUCUACUACAAUAUAAAAGGAAUCUCUAAUACAGUGACAUAAACUCCCAAACUAGAAGACAUAUGUUCUCAAAGCAAACAUAGACCAACUAGCAGAGAUUUAGAAUAUAAAAUGUGUAGUCAGAGCUAUAACCAGACAUUUUCUCUUAUCCUUAAGUAAAAAUGGAUUAAAUUCCACUAUUAGGUCUUAGAUAAACUCAUAAAGCAAAAACUAUAUAAAUUACAUAGAAGAGAUCAGAUCCAGCCUGCACAGUGGCACAUGCCUGUCAUCCUAGUGACUCAGGAGGCUGGGGCAGGAAGAUUCCAAGUUCAAGGCUGACUUUAGCAAAUCAGUGAGACCCUCAGCAAUUUCUGGGAUGUAGCUUAAAGUAUCAAAACAAGAAAUAGCAAGGCAACACAACAUUGCCCUGUCUGCUGCCAGGCUCAGCCUCAACAAUUGCUGAAAACACUGGAAACAGAGAGGCGGGCCAUUGACCCA